GGGUUCUUAGCUCAGCUGGUAGAGCAGCGGACUUUUAAUCCGUUUGUCGCGGGUUCGACCCCCGCAGAACCCACCA
rnacentral:tRNA from 1 species